rnacentral:rRNA from 1 species
UUGAUAUUAUUACUAAUAAGGAGUCGGACCUGCCCGGUGAAAUUUUUUAACGGCCGCGGUACUCUGACCGUGCAAAGGUAGCAUAAUCAUUUGCCUUAUAAUUGAAGGCUAGUAUGAAUGGUUUGACAAGAAUAUAGCUGUCUCUUUACAAUUUGGUAGAAUUUUAUUUUUAGGUGAAAAAGCCUAGAUUGAAUUAAAAGACAAGAAGACCCUAUCGAGCUUUAAAGGAGUUAAUGGAUGUGUAAUUUUUAUUUAUAAAAAAUAUAACUAUUAAAUAUUUUGGUUGGGGCGACUAAGGAACAUAAGAAGCUUCCUCUAUAAUAUAUAGAUGACAUACAAGUAUUGAUCCAUAGUUGAUGAUUAAAGGAAUUAGUUACCGUAGGGAUAACAGCAUUAUCCUUUUUGAGAGUUCUAAUCGAAAAAAGGGUUUGUGACCUCGAUGUUGGACCAGAAUGUCCUAAAGAUGCAGAAGUCUUUAAGGGUUGGUCUGUUCGACCAUUAAAAUUCUA